UUGCCUAAGGUCCAGAGCCUGUUAGAGGCGCUUCACAUCCAGGUCUGCCUGUCUCUUAUCUCCCUGCUACUCCGAGCUGUUAUUCUGACAUUGCAUUGAUGAUCUACGAUUCCCUUCAAAAAGCUGCUAUCUCGGGAUGACAAGUUCUUUUGACAAAAGGGGGAGGCAUUUCUCCUAAGUGGCUUUUUUCUUAAGAGCUUUUACAGUAAGAUAGGGACUCAUACGUGUGGAGACUGCAAAGGAUCAAAUGGCCCCAAGGAACCCUGAGAGCACACAGGAUUGUUUUGGUUGGAUUCCAGCAAUGAGCGGGAGCCCUUCUCACAGUGUGUGUCACACAGUUAGCUGAAAAAUGGUACUAUCCCUAUGGUGAUGAUGAGGAUGACGACGAUGACAACAAUGAUGAUGACAAACCUGGUUAUUGCUCUCCCAAGGAGUUCACGGUCUAGUGGAGGAAGCAUUCAAGUAAACAGAGGAUCAUAAAACAAUGAGGAGACUGGCUCAAGGCUCUGGAAAGAGGCCCUUCACCUUUGACCUUUCUUGAAUGGCCUUUCCUGGCCCUGGUCCCCUGGAAGACACGGCAUCCUGGCUCCUGGUCACCUGGGAACGUGGCUGAUAACUUCUCAGCCUGCCCAUGAAAGCAGGGGAUACCUGAGCCCAGGGGAACAGAAAAUGGAGGCAGAUCCCAAAUCUGGGUAGCUGGAAGCUCAUUUCAAGGACUGACUUUUCAUGAAGGAGAAAAAUGAGAAGAGAAAAACCAGGAAAAAAUUCUCUGCCACUGGCAGAAACACGAUAUAAUAAAUA